UGAGGGGUAAAUAUUAACAAUGAACAAAAUAAGGGCAAAAGCAAAAAAUGACUCACAUCAAUCUUCUCAUACAAUUUCACUGUAAUUUGAUCAAUCGAAUGUUUCCACUGUGUGUAUCUUUUCAAUUGGAAAUAAGAAAUGGAGGAUAAAAUCAGCUACGACGAUGGUCAAGAAUUUAAGCUGUUGCUCUCAUGUCCUUCUGGUUUAUCUCCUUCACAGAUGUCAGUUGUUUUUGACAAAACAUAUGAUAGGAUUCCACAUCUUGAUCCUACUCUGGAGCACUCCAUUUCCAAGGUUUACAUGUCAAACAUUAGAUAGAGUUUCAACCACAUGCCAAGAGAAGAGCCUUCACAGAGAAAACAAUGGUCCAGGAAGUAUGAAUAUGACCUUCUUCGGAGUGUCACUUCCAGCAGGCUCGGAUUUACCAGCUUUUAAGCUGCCAACCUCAUCAUCAGUUUUCUCCUCAUGUUGCUCAACUUUUGCAGUCUCCUCCUUGGUCUGGUUCUCAUCACUAACGUUGUCCUCAUCUUCAUCAUCAUCGUCAUCAUCAUCGCUGCUAGAAGAAUCAGAAUAUUUGAAAAGAGUCUUUUUGUUUACAGAUAUGGGAUGCAAGAGUUCAACAAAGUUCAUCACUUUUCAAUGGAACAAAGUUCAGGGGAAUGAUCCCAAGCAACAGUCUCAUGUUUCCCUUCAUCUUGGUCUGACAGAUUAUAGGACAUUCGUGGGAACAAAUUUAAGCUCUAUGUGGGAGAGAUUUCUUGUUUCGUCUGAAGAUGAUUGUAUACAGUGUCAGCACACAUCAAGUCCUCUUGGUAAUGGUGCAGUUGUGGAGACUUCUGACAGAAGAAUACUUGUGCUUCAGAGAAGUAAUAAAGUUGGAGAAUUCCCUGGAUAUUUUGUUUUUCCUGGAGGCCACCCAGAGCCCCAAGAAGUCGGAAUAAUGUCCCAUGAAGGCUUGCAUGAGCUGAACCAGUGUCAGAUGAUUAACAGCAAAGUUUCUCAGGAAAUGUUUGACAGCAUUGUCCGUGAAGUUGUUGAAGAAGUUGGAGCUCCUGCAGAUACCCUUCCCCAUCUUUAUUGGUUUAUCCCGCAGAGUAUUGAAUGUUCGACCAACUGCUUUUUUCUUCAUCAAAUGCAAUCUUCCGUCAGAUGAAAUUCAACAACUAUAUUCUAGUGCACAGGAUGGGUUCGAGUCAACUCAGCUUUAUGCUGUUUCAAUGAGUGAUUUGGAGGACAUGACUUCUAAAAUGCCCGGCUGCCACAGGGGAGGCUUUGCCCUCUACAAGUUAAUGGUACAACACACGAGUGAUAGCUAAUCUCAUCGUUUGCUGACUGAGGAUCUUAUAGCCUUAUCUCUUGUAUGCCUGAUUUAUACAUGUUUCUUUCGUAGUCGUUGAUGUACGAUCGCAUGCUAUGCUAUUCUAUUGGUCAAAAGAAAACUUCCCAUGGAAAUCUAUAUGAGCUAGCAUGUAGAUAUGCCGCCAUUUAGUCUUAUUGAAUUGCAGGCAAACUUGAUACUGUCACUUGAUUUAUUCAGAAUGCUGUAUAGCCUGAUUAUUGAAUGGCUAUAGUCCAUAGAUACAACAACAACA